rnacentral:rRNA from 1 species
CCUACGGGAGGCUGCAGUGGGGAAUAUUGCACAAUGGGGGAAACCCUGAUGCAGCAACGCCGCGUGAGUGAUGACGGUAUUCGGGUUGUAAAGCUCUGUCUUCAGGGACACUAAUGACGGUACCUGUGGACGAAGCCACGGCUAACUACGUGCAAGCAGCCGCGGUUAUACGUCGGCGGCCAGCGUUGUCCGGAUUUACUGGGCGUAAAGGGAGCGUAGGCGGACUUUUAAGUGAGAUGUGAAAUACUCGGGCUCAACUUGAGUGCUGCAUUUCUAACUGGAAGUCUAGAGUGCAGGAGAGGGGAAUGGAAUUCCUAGUGUAGCAGUGAAAUGCGUAGAGAUGAGGAAGAACACCGGUGGCGAAGGCGAUUCUCUGGACUGUAACUGACGCUGAGGCUCGAAAGCGUGGGGAGCAAACAGGAUUAGAUACCCUAGUAGUC